CUACGGGGCGCUGCAGUGAGGAAUAUUGCACAAUGGGGGGAACCCUGAUGCAGCAACGCCGCGUGGAGGAUGACGCAUUUCGGUGUGUAAACUCCUUUUAUAUGUCAAGAAAAUGACGGUAGCAUAUGAAUAAGCACCGGCUAACUCCGUGCCAGCAGCCGCAGUAAUACGGAGGGUGCAAGCGUUACUCGGAAUCACUGGGCGUAAAGGACGCGUAGGCGGGUUGGAAAGUCAGGUGUGAAAUCCUACAGCUUAACUGUAGAACUGCACUUGAAACUUCUAAUCCGGAGUAUGGGAGGGGGAGAUGGAAUUAGUGGUGUAGGGGUAAAAUCCGUAGAUAUCACUAGGAAUACCUAAAGCGAAGGCGAUCUACUGGAACAUUACUGACGCUAAGGCGUGAAAGCGUGGGGAGCAAACAGGAUUAGAUACCCUUGUAGUC
rnacentral:rRNA from 1 species